UACGGAGGGUGCGAGCGUUGUCCGGAAUCACUGGGCGUAAAGGGCGCGUAGGCGGCGUCGCGAGUCAACGGUGAAAGCUCAGGGCUCAACCCUGAGUCGGCCGUCGAUACUGCGAGGCUUGAGCACUGUAGAGGCAGGUGGAAUUCCGGGUGUAGCGGUGGAAUGCGUAGAGAUCCGGAAGAACACCGGUGGCGAAGGCGGCCUGCUGGGCAGUGGCUGACGCUGAGGCGCGACAGCGUGGGGAGCAAACAGG
rnacentral:rRNA from 1 species